CCUACGGGAGGCAGCAGUGAGGAAUAUUGGUCAAUGGCCGUAAGGCUGAACCAGCCAAGUAGCGUGAGGGAAGACUGCCCUAUGGGUUGUAAACUUCUUUUAUGCGGGGAUAAAGGCGUCCACGCGUGGCUGUUUGCAGGUAUCGCAUGAAUAAGGACCGGCUAAUUCCGUGCCAGCAGCCGCGGUAAUACGGAGGGUCCGGGCGUUAUCCGGAUUUAUUGGGUUUAAAGGGAGCGUAGGCCGGUCUUUAAGCGUGCCGUGAAAUUUUGUGGCUCAACCAUGAGAGUGCGGCGCGAACUGGAGACCUUGAGUGCGCGGACGGCAGGCGGAAUUCGUGGUGUAGCGGUGAAAUGCUUAGAUAUCACGAAGAACCCCGAUUGCGAAGGCAGCCUGCCGCAGCGUUACUGACGCUGAAGCUCGAAAGCGCGGGUAUCGAACAGGAUUAGAUACCCCAGUAGUC
rnacentral:rRNA from 1 species